CCAUACUAACACUAUCGAGCAGUCGAGUGACAUUGGCGACCAGCAGACGGCGCAGUUUGGCGCGGGAGAUUCCGGUCUGGAAGUUGGAUACACGGCGGGUCGCGGACUGCUCACCGCCACAACAGUGCAGCUGGUAUGUGACUUACAUGCAUGUAAACCCAUAAUGACUGCGCAGGGGGCUACUGGACUUAACUCAUUUACGCUGACAUUGAAGACGGUGUGCGCAUGUCCGGGGGCGUGUAACGAGGCCGGGCCGCUGAAGCCUUGUACAGGAGGAGGAGGGGGAGGAGGAGGGAUUAGUGGCGGAGUGGUGUUUCUCAUUAUAUUUGCUUGACUGUUGCUCAUCUACAUCAUCGGCGGUGUUUCAUUCAUGAAAUUCGUGCGCCGCGCCGAGGGGAAGGAACUCUUGCCAAACUACGGAUUUUGGUCCAACCUGCCUGGAUACAUAAAGAGUGGAACGCUAUUCGUCAUUAGUCCAUGUAGGAAGAAAUCUGCGUCGUACAACUCCAUAUAACAGCAUACGGCGAGUGAACGCUUGACCGGCACAGGCUAAUCUGGGAAGACACUUUACGCACAUGCAAAACGCUACGUUUUCACAGAACGGUGCUCAUAUCAACAGAAGUUUCAUCAAGUGUCAUGUCAUCAAGUGUCGUGUAGAAACAUUCAAUGCGUUUUUCGU